rnacentral:rRNA from 1 species
UACGGAGGGUGCGAGCGUUGUCCGGAAUCACUGGGCGUAAAGGGCGCGUAGGCGGCCGUGUAAGUCACUUGUGAAAUCCCGGGGCUCAACCCCGGGGCUGCAGGUGAGACUGCGUGGCUAGAGCACGGUAGAGGCGAGUGGAAUUCCCGGUGUAGCGGUGGAGUGCGUAGAUAUCGGGAAGAACACCGGUGGCGAAGGCGGCUCGCUGGGCCGUUGCUGACGCUGAGGCGCGAAAGCGUGGGGAGCAAACAGG